ACCCUCGUAGAUGAAUUGGUAAAUCGCUCACCAUUGAUAUUAAGUGUGUUGUUCGAUGUGAAUGAGAGGCGGGGGUUCGACUCCCCCGGAGGGCA